CAGAAAAUUCAAAAUGGCUGCACGCGGUAGGUGAGGCCCGAGCGAAGAAAAGUGGAAAAGAGUGUUAUUCGUCAAAAAACCCACACAACGACGGUCAUUUUUUCGCCGUGCUAUUGUAAAAUUGUCUUUUAUCUGUGUUUUGUGUUCCGGGGGACCCCGACUCCAGAAUGUGAAAGUUUCCCGCGUGAAGCCGUGGAGCUCGAGAUCCUGUUUACUGUGGACUAGCUGUGUGUGACGCCAUGUUGUUUUUGUUUACAUUAAAAAAAAAAGCUCCACCGUCUCGCCGAGUGCCAGCAAGAGUCAUGAGUACUUGUCAACUCGACUCCUCAACUGGAGAUAACUUUCUAG